rnacentral:lncRNA from 1 species
GGUGUUUCCUCAUUUCUUACUUCAGGAAUAUAAACCCUCCCAUUAGCUGUUGCACAUUCAUCACUCUCUGAGCCCCCAGACAUUUUAUCUACGUAUAUUAUUGAUCCACUUCUAUAUUACUGCAUAGCAAUUAUUCAUUCAUUAAUCAGUCAUUACUGCAUCACAACAUAUCAAUGCAUUCCACUUACACAAAACAUUGCCCAAAUUGACACAAAAUACGCAUAGUCUAACUUCCGAUUACACAAAACACAAGCAAAAUUUCAUAAAAGUUACGUCAUCUCUUGUGAAAUAAUCUGGUCAAAAUAACAUUAGAACCAACAUGUUCAACUAAGAACACAAAUGUAAUUCAAACCACCAAUUACAGAACUUCACCCAAUAUCCUCUCCAACUGCUUACUCCUAAUGUCAUUAAGCCUAAGUUUAGGUUCUUUUACCUACAUUUCAUAAUUUUCCACCCCGACCAACAACAAUGAACUAAGUAUAUUGAAUAUUCAUAAGGAAAUGACACAUUAUUGAUGCCACAAAUGACGAAUUUCCCACCCUCACAAAAAAUAAACCUAACCCAAUAAAAUCAAUCCAGCAAGUGAACUUACCUCUCAAAAUCAAUCGGGAGCUCUGAAGUCAGUCAGCUUGAAAGAAUGUGGUGGACAUUAGAGAAGACUCUUUGGUAUUUCAGACUCCAUCUCUACCAAAAUCGAGGAACAACUGCUGCUGCGGCUUCUAGCUACAAAAACAGAUAUGCUACUUUGCUUUCAUCUGGAAUCUUGUCAGCUGAAUGAAAAAGAGAAGGGGUUUUCACUUGAGCCAUAGAAUCAAAACAGGGCAACAGCUAGGUAAGAGCCAUUCUUCGUAAUACCCAGGAUACCAUAGAUCGCAGGCCUCCCAACGAGCUAAUGACAGUGGAGUGACUAUAAGGUUUGGGAGAUUUGGAUCCUUCUAAUUGUGGGUUUGCUUUACAUUCAAAAAGAAAGGAUUGUGUUCUUCAGUUUUUCACAGAGAGGGAAAGAGGGGAACAACUGAAGUUGGGUUUCUAACGGGUUAG